rnacentral:lncRNA from 1 species
AGACCGGGAACCUGGAAAUCCCGCGCGAGACGGGGCUGGGUUGGAGGGCUGGAGUGGAGGAGCCGGGGCUGGAAACGAAGUAGGAAGCUCCAGCCGGGACGGCUACAGGUUUCUUUGGAGAAAAUCUGUCUUUUAACCUGGAGGCUGGGUAGUGUGAGCAAGUGAAUGAAAAAGGUUUCUGGUCAACCAUGACUGUGCCUCCAGGCUCUAACCCACCCCCCGGGCAGUGGUGACAACAGCAGGACCUGCUUGGAGAUCAGCUGCCUUAAGGGUUGAUGGCUGGCAUGUCGCAGAGUCCACCCAGCAUGUACUGGUGUGUGGGCCCAGAGGGAUCAACUUUGAGUCCAGAACGCACCAUGGAGACCCAAAGUGGUGCCAGGGACAUGGGCAGCAAGCUGUCCACGCCAGGUGGGGACUCCACAGCACCUCGGUCCCCCAGGAUGGAGGGCAUUUACACCGCAUACAAACAGGGAGACCUCAGCAGGGCUCGAGACCUGCUCAGGCAGGCCUGUGAGGACAGCACAUCCCAGCUGGAAAAGGGUCAGCUCCUGAGCAUCUCAGCGGCCCAUGGGGAUCUAGAGACGGUCCGGUAUCUACUCACCGAGAAACGGGUGGAGCUGUCCACGGAGCCCACUGAUGACAAUGCAGCCGUCGUGGCUGCACAUUUUGGGCACACGGAAGUUGUGCAGGAGCUGCUUGAGUCCUUGUCAGGUAAAUCACAGUGCACUCGCUCCUUACCUCCCCCCUGGGCCCUCUUCUUAGGCUACAACCAAAAUUCUUGUUUCUUCAUGAUUUCAGCAAUGAGAUCAGGAAAUCUGGGGCAUCCAACUGGCACCCCAAACAAAGGUGUCUGCAGAUGUCCUGUACUUUCCCCCAUUGACCCAUGAGGGAAGCACUCAUGAUCAUACUUGCAAAGAAUAUAGGCCUGUGCAGCUUGGUUUUUGAUUGACUGCUUUUAGGACAGUUUUAGGAUUUAAAAAAAUUGAUAGGAAUGUAGUGUUCCCAUAUACCCCUCCACACACAGUUUCCCCUGUUAUUUCCAUUUUGCAU